GCCAUACUACGGCGCAUUGCCCUGAAAAGUAAACGAUGACCCAUAGUGAACUUCAGGUUAAAAUGCGUAUCAAAUGAAAAAAUUGCUGCUGACCUGGGGUUUCCCCCGGGUCAGUUUUCUUU
rfam:Trabulsiella guamensis ATCC 49490 GTGT.assembly.111, whole genome shotgun sequence.